GAGGAAGAUCUUGUCCUGGGAGGCCGCAGUGCUCCCGCGGCCCCGGGGAAGAGGCCUCCCCAGCGCGGGGUCCAGCGGAGCCGCAGUUUGCGGGGAAUCCCCCAUGGCCGGGCAGCGGGAGGACGCGGCGGCAGCGGCAGCUAACCCGGAAGGAAAAGGAGCGGAGCAGGCGGCGCGGCCGCCCUUCCUCUUCCAUCUCCUUCACCUCCUCCUCCUUCUUCUGGGCUGCGCAGCCGCUGUGGGUGCCGGCAUGUGCUAGACUUCAGGACCCACACCAUCUCUUCCCACCUGAAAGAGAAGCCUCUGCUUUAACAGUGUCUACCAGGGCUGCAAGCAACAUGUUCUAGGCAAGAGGGAAGGAACCUACGCCUUCCAAACUGGACAUUAAUUCUGUCCUUGAUGAGCUGCAAACCUGAGUCUGUCAGGACUUAUUGUCCUGGAAACAAUAGCUCAAAGGUGUAACAUGACCUGCUCUUCCUUACUGGUUUUGCUCACUGUUUUAUGGCCCGAAAAGAAGUGAGUAUGAAAACAGAGACUUUGCUAUUUUCUGGAGGAAAGUAUAUGCAGCAGGAGAGGAGGACGUGGGAGGGACACAAAAACAAGCUGUAGGCAGGAAAAGGAGUAUGGGAAAGAAAAAAAGGGAGCAAGAGAGAGGCAAUGAUAUAAUGUUAAAUCUUCCCAGUUAAUGAUGUCGAAUUGUGACAAUGAAGCAUUAAAGAGAUUUUCAAAAGCAGUUAGCUCUGUUUUCAGAUGGCCUAGUUAAGUGUGCAAUGAUGCAGAUAGCCUCCCACUGGGAUUUUCAGAAGUCUCUAAUGGCCUAAUUCCUACAGGAAAACUGUUAUGUGCUUUAUAUUUCUCCACAUAAACACAUCAUGGAUGUGUUCCUCUGCCAGCAAUGGCUGCUUGAAGUAUGUAGUCCAAAACAGUGUAACAGCCCACGACUGUAAUUAUAAUGAAGUCUUCUCACAAAACGAGUGUCACGCUCCUGCGUGAGCUGGGUGACAGCCUUUUCUUGUGCUCUACUGCAGAAAAUGAGCUCCUGCUUUUCCAUAGUGCUGCAAGAGGCUGUUUGCUAUGACAGCAGAGAAGAGAAAGAAAGCCACAGUCAGGAAAUAUGCAGAGGUGAGGGGAAAAGGUUGUAUAUGAGAUAAACUUGAGCAUAUUUCAGGCUAAAGGAGCUGGGCUUGUUCAGCCUGGAAAAGAGAAGGCUCUAGGGAGACCUCAUUGUGGCCUGACAACACUUAAAGUGAGCUUAUAAUCAGAAAGGAGACAGACUUUUUACAUGUUGUGAUAGUGAUAGGACAAGGAGAGGCAAUUUUAAGCUGAAAAGGGGGAGAUUUAGAUUAGAUGUGCAGGAGAAUUGGAAGCUGAUGAUCUUUAAGGCCACUUCCAGCCCAGGCUAUUCUAUGAUUCAUUGUUUGCAGUUAUUCUUUCAUCUACUAAGAGUCUGAUCCCUUCCACAGCUCACAGUAAGACAGCAAAAAAAAGAUCUAUAAAAGCCAUAUUAUUUUAAGCGGGAGAUAUUAUUUAAAGAACUCUAACUCAAGGCAUUUUUAGUAUUUUAAUAAGUUAAUUAAAAUAAUUGCCACUAACAGCAUCCUUUUAAUUACAUGAGCAUUUGCAGGUGUGUAAUACAUUGUUGGGGUUUCUUUUGUUUGUUUUGUUUCCUAUAAGGACUUACUCAAUGGUUUAAAGUGUCAGUGAGACUUCCCUUCCAUUUCUAAAGAAAGGCUUUGGAAAUUGCUUGGCUAAAUAGGAAAGAUGGUAGCAAUUUCAAGUAGAAUUAAAUUCUUAAAUGUUUCUUGAAAAAUCAAUGAAAGAGGGAAAAAAAAAAAAAAAAGCUUAAUGCCAACACUGUGGGAAGAACUCGGUCACUAUAUAUUGCUCUCCCCAGGAAGUCUUAAUAAGAAAGCUUGAGCUUAUUUAACAGUUCAUCACUACCCAACAGGAGAACGUUUUGCUCCCAAUUCCUUUUCUGCCUUCAAGCUGCUUGUUUGUCUCCUCUCACUUCCUGCCAGCUCUUGCACUUAGCUGAUGCCUCUGUGAGCAGAUGUGGUUGAGCCUGAAGUUCAGUGGCAGCUUAUCCAAAUCUAACUGCUGGCUGCAGGCAUGCAGCCUGUCCCUUUGUUUUUCUCUCUCCUCUUUCACUUUCCUUUUGCUGGCCAACGCGUUCCUCCUGCCCCUCCCUUGUGAUGCUUCGUCAUGUCCUCUGCUGAAUUGUUCUAGCAUAAUAACAUUGCAGAAAAUGAACUGGUGUGCACUGAAUAUUAAAAUGGGAGGAGCUGUUGACUUCUUUGAGGAUAGAAAGUCCUUACAGGGAGAUGUUGAUAAACUAGAUGACUGGGCAAUCACCAACCAGAUGAAGUUUAAAAAGAGCAAGUGCCGGAUUCUGCACCUGGGAUGGAGCAGUCCUGGAUACAUAUACUGACUGGGGGACGAGAGCCUGGAGCAGCCUCAUGGAAAGGGAUAUUGGGGGUUCUGGCUGACAACAAGUUGAAUGUGUAGUCAGAGGAGUGCCCUGGCAGCCAAAAGAAAGCAGAUGUGCCACACAGAUGGGUAUGACCUGUGAUCACAUGCUUAUUUCUCUGAAACACUAAGCUCAUUUCCUGUAUGUAUUGUGGGGAAAAAAAAGAAGAAGAAGAAAAAAAAGAAGUGGCUUUAAAGAGGAAGUUCGCUGUGUGAAAAGGAGCGGUUUGGUGAACUGGGAUUAGGAUAAAGCUCUAUGAACCACUUUAACCAAGAACUGGUAAUAUAUAGCCAUAUUACAGACCUUUGCUGUAUAGAAAUUUCUGAACAGUACCAGACAAUAACCAGACCAUGCUGCUCUGCAUCAAGUGAUGAAGAAUGCAAAGCUCUUCACGUGCAAGCAAAACAGCAAACAAACUGUAAUCCACUGCACAGUUCAGACACUGUAUGAUACUACAGCAGAUUUUAAGACUGAGGAAAGUUGUUUCUUGGCUCCCAUGAGGGAAUGUUUUACGUGCUCCAAGACUGACAACAUUGGAAAUUUUUUUUUUCCCUCAAUUAACUGUACUUUUUUGGCCCUUUCUUUUGGUUCGCUCGUGAUCUACAAGAGCUUUCCAGAAUUAACAAUUUUUUAUUCUUUCCUUUGCUCAAAUUAGAGCAAGCAGGAGUGUUAAGUAGGUUAAAAUACCACAGUGACGAUCUCAUACAAUACUUGUGUAUGGGGUUUUUUCCAUUUUCUUUUUAAUUGAAAUUGUAAAAUUUUGUGGCCAUAUCUCCUAAACUUUGGAAGUAGUCACUGAACGUGGGAAACAUACCCAGUUCUGAAAACUUCUGGAUUUCAAUUGCACUCUCAAGUACAGUUAUGGUCUGGAAUAAAUCAAAAUAUCCAUAGAUUCUGACUUUUACCCAAAGCAGUGAAUUUAUAUGUUAAGAAGCCAAAGUUGUGUUUAGAGAGUGCUUCUGAUAUGCUUCCACUUUUUCUUUAUUUUCUCCCUUUUUUACAGUUCAUAUGGAUAAUAUUAUCUAGUCUUUUAGGACUUACUGCGCUGACAAUUUAAAAGUCAACAGUCUGAAGCUGGACAAUUUUCUCUGAACAACAAAUCUGUCAUUUCAAAGGAGGUCAUUGAUGCUAGUGCUUAAGUAAUAAAUAAUUUCAGUUCUCUUGGCAAAACCCACAGAAAAGUUAUUUUAUAUUUUGCAAAAUAUGUACAUUUCUAGAGACAUGUAAUGAUUUAAAUAACACUAAGCAAAACUAAGCUGUUUAAAAUAAAUGAAAUGACAAUAAAAUUAGAAAACUGAAAUGUUUAACUUCUUGGAGGAGUAAUGAGCAAAAGCAAAACCCUUCAAAGCUAUUUGACGACUUUUGUGAAAUUUAGUAAUAUUUUCAGUUUUAUCCAAAGCCUUUUUUUAAGGAAAUGAAGCACUUCCAAGUUGGUACUAAUAAGACUGUUAAAGAAUGGCUCAUUGGCCAAGCAGUGGUAGAAAUUACUUUUGAAAAGCACCAAAGUGGAAAAGUAUUUGAUAAGGAAGAAGGUUAUACUGUAGAAAACUCUUAUUAUGUGAAUGCUACUGCCAUGCAACUGCCAUGUAUGGUGUACUUCUGUACUCCUGAACUUGCAAGGCUUCCUUCAGUGUCUCACAAGUCAAAGGUAAUAUCACUGCUUUUCUUGAUUGUUAAUUUUUCCAAAAUCACUUGCGAACGAUUUGGAAAAUGUGCCCAGAAAACAUGACUGUGGCACUCCAUUUUAUUCCACCUCUGAGUGGAAAGGUGGAUUGCUUUCCACCUCUGAGAAUAUUAGAUCUUUCAGUUCAAUACCUGUUACUUCUUCCUUUUUUUCAUUAGAAGCAAUUGAUCUGGCAAAGUAGAGUGCAUGCAGUACAGAUAUGUUCAAAAUGAUACAAUUUUCUAGUUUAUGUUUAUUUAAUCACUUAAGUAAAUUGAUAAUGCUUAUACCAUAGUCAAGCUGAUCCUGUAAUCAAGUAUGGUAACAGAUGUUCUACAUAUGUGAGGUGACGUGUCGUCUCAGCAAAUGAGCUUCCCUGUUGUUUUAAGACUUGCCCUUUUGAUGCCUCCAGACAGAGUCAGAGAUAGUAACUCUCAGGGGUAACAGCUCAUUUGUUACUACUCUCCUAACAAAAAAGAUAAUAUUCGAAAAAAAUAUAUGUAAAUAUGAUGUAAAUAUUGCUGCAACAUAUUCUCCCAUUGCAUGAGAUCAAUCUGAGUCACAGGUAAGAAAUCACACAAGUACACACCAGGACACAUGAUGAUACAAAGUUUUAUGAAGAGACAAUUGAUUCAUCUUAGGUAUUGUGUUUAUGGUGUAAUCUGUUUGGUGUUCCAAAGCAAUUUCCAUUAAUAUUGUGUGUGAAUUCUAACAAGUGCUUUCAAUACUAUUGACAAGAGUCAAAUAGUGUGAAAUAUUAAAUGCAUAAGGUAUUUUUGUAUGGCAUUUUCAAAAGGUUCUAAAGGCAGCUUUAAGAAGGUGCUGAUAACAUUUGCAAAACAACGCCAAUAAUAUCUUGAAUUCCAGUGCAGGACUGAUAGUGAUUAGGCACUAGAGCUGUGUGAAAAGUACCAUGUGCAGUGCUGGGUGAUCCCGAUAGUCAAAGUACGUUGGCUAUUGAAAGUAAAAGUUUGACUUUCA